AUCUAACUAACAAGUCCCAAAUCGGACGAAACACGCGUCCUGGAU
rnacentral:hammerhead_ribozyme from 1 species